UACGUAGGGAGCAAGCGUUGUCCGGAAUUACUGGGCGUAAAGGGCUCGUAGGCGGCCAACUAAGUCAGACGUGAAAUCCCUCAGCUUAACUGGGGAACUGCGUCUGAUACUGGAUGGCUUGGAUUUGGGAGAGGGAUGCGGAAUUCCAGGUGUAGCGGUGAAAUGCGUAGAUAUCUGGAGGAACACCGGUGGCGAAGGCGGCAUCCUGGACCAACACUGACGCUGAGGAGCGAAAGCCAGGGGAGCAAACGGG
rnacentral:rRNA from 1 species